CAUUAGAUGGCUGAAAGCAAGCACAGGUCUCUUAAACCUCCCUAUAGUAAUUUAGCUCUUACUUCUAAUGG
rnacentral:tRNA from 1 species